rnacentral:rRNA from 1 species
ACGUACACUCCUGCGGGAGGCAGCAGUGGGGAAUCUUGCGCAAUGGGCGAAAGCCUGACGCAGCCAUGCCGCGUGAAUGAUGAAGGUCUUAGGAUUGUAAAAUUCUUUCACCGGGGACGAUAAUGACGGUACCCGGAGAAGAAGCCCCGGCUAACUUCGUGCCAGCAGCCGCGGUAAUACGAAGGGGGCUAGCGUUGCUCGGAAUUACUGGGCGUAAAGGGAGCGUAGGCGGACAUUUAAGUCAGGGGUGAAAUCCCGGGGCUCAACCUCGGAAUUGCCUUUGAUACUGGGUGUCUUGAGUAUGAGAGAGGUGUGUGGAACUCCGAGUGUAGAGGUGAAAUUCGUAGAUAUUCGGAAGAACACCAGUGGCGAAGGCGACACACUGGCUCAUUACUGACGCUGAGGCUCGAAAGCGUGGGGAGCAAACAGGAUUAGAAACCCCUGUAGUCCC